UUAAAUGUAUUUUUCUGCGUAAGAGUUGCCAGUGAAUUUGCGCGUGGUUUGAGGUAUAUCUUCUAGUAUCAAUGUUUAAUUUUGCGCAGGAAAUAUGCGCUUGAUUUCAUUUAUGGUUAUUUCUGUAGCAGACGCAUAUUGCUAGACGGAUUAAACGAAUCAGUAUAUUGAUUUGUCUCCAUUUUCUUUGUCGACUGGAAUUAUAUUGUAAAGACUACAGGUAUGGAAGAGCCCGGGUUCUUAUGUUCUACUACGGUACUGAAGGCCCCAGGUUCGAAUUUCGGAGAAGACAUAGAUGUUUGGAAAUGUAUAGUGUCGGUGCGGGAUGUCCACUCUAAAUAUUCAGAGAACCGAAAAAGUCCUCUCAUGUGGAUUGGUGGAAGGAUCCUCCCGGGGUGCUCUCUCUCAAAAUUGGGGGUGGAAAAUAGAAGUCCAACCUUUCUUUGAAUUAGGCUCUGGUAACCACUGUUCCAUAUAAUAUGGACCCAAAAAAAAAAAAAAAAAACAUUAAAAGUUUUUAAUGUAAUUUUGUUUCCUACUUCCCGACCGUCUUUAGAAGAAUAAAUAUAAUUCCAAAGACA